UACGAAGGGGGCUAGCGUUGCUCGGAAUCACUGGGCGUAAAGCGCACGUAGGCGGAUUUCUAAGUCAGGGGUGAAAUCCUGGAGCUCAACUCCAGAACUGCCUUUGAUACUGAGGAUCUUGAGUUCGGGAGAGGUGAGUGGAACUGCGAGUGUAGAGGUGAAAUUCGUAGAUAUUCGCAAGAACACCAGUGGCGAAGGCGGCUCACUGGCCCGGUACUGACGCUGAGGUGCGAAAGCGUGGGAGCAACAGG
rnacentral:rRNA from 1 species